UGCUCUUUUAUAUAAAAAAUUUGGUGUUACUAUCUCUGUCUUUUUGUUUGAGUUUAGUCUCUAAUUCUGUCUUUAAUCAGUCUAGGUAGUCCCUGGGAAUGGGAUGUCUUUUUGUUUGUUGCUACAAUGGUUGAUGGAUCCUUAGAUUUUGGAGUGUUCUGUUCCGUUGUUUAGUUAUGAGUAUUGUUUUGAUUUUUUGUUUAACAAAAUUGGUUUUGCUAUUGUAUGUUGGUAUAUGCUUGUUGAUAUCAGUGUUUUUCAAAAGUGAAAAACCUCGUUGUCAACUUGUGGUGAUGAAAGCUAAGAGGAUUGAACGAUGACAUGUUUGAGGAUAUUGUUAUUGCAAAAACUAGUGGGGUUAUAGAUGUGCACUACUUAGUGCGAAAAUGAAGGCUUAUUACCAUUUUACUUCUUACGUUUACAUGCUUUAUUGGAUGUAAACUUGUAAUCGUUCUAAUAUGUAAUUGAAAUUGUGUUGCAUAGUUCAUUUCCAAUAUGAAAUCAAAUUUCAAAUAUUUGUAUGAUAACAUAUUUGGAGUUGCCAA